CUGGAGAGCGCAGCUAUUUGCAUGUUAGACCAAGCUGGCAUGCGUGGAGUGGCUGGCGCUAGAGUGACGUGCGGGCUCGUGCUGGACACAGAAGGCGAUUGUAUGGGGCGCGUGUUCAAUUUUGAUCGUUAGGCUGUAAUUUUGAUUUUUUUUUCAUAAACCGUUGGCAGUCAAUGUUUCCUUUUGUAAAUUUUUUAUUUUUAUUUUUUAUUUUUCAAUAUCUAUAAAUAUCCCAUUCAAUAUUAACACAAAUCACACAUCUUUUUUCUACCCUAUUUUCUUAUUCGCUCUAGCAAAAUGGCUUCUUCAUCAUCAUCUUCCUUCGACUCAAGCGGCGACGUGCUCAACAUUUCGCCUAAUUUGUGUCACAAUUUUACGAAAUU
rnacentral:lncRNA from 1 species